GCCCGCCUAGCUCAAUCGGAUAGAGCGUCAGACUCUUACGGGUUAGGCUUAAGUGGCGACCCAGGGCAUCUGAAGGCUGCGAGUUCGACCCUCGCGGUGGGCU
rnacentral:tRNA from 1 species